rnacentral:rRNA from 1 species
GCAAUCCAGACUAUACAUGCAAACGAGCGCUGACCCCUCUCUNNGGGGAGCCGGGCUGGGGAUGCGUGCAUUUAUCAGACCCAAAACCCNNNGGGUCUCGGCCCCUCGGCCGCUUUGUGACUUUUGAUAACCUUGGCCGAUCGCGCCUCCGCGGCGGUGACGNCUCAUUCGAAU